rnacentral:rRNA from 1 species
ACGGGAGGCAGCAGUGGGGGAUAUUGCACAAUGGGGGAAACCCUGAUGCAGCGACGCCGCGUGAGCGAAGAAGUAUUUCGGUAUGUAAAGCUCUAUCAGCAGGGAAGAAAAUGACGGUACCUGACUAAGAAGCCCCGGCUAACUACGUGCCAGCAGCCGCGGUAAUACGUAGGGGGCAAGCGUUAUCCGGAUUUACUGGGUGUAAAGGGAGCGUAGACGGCGAGGCAAGUCUGAUGUGAAAGCUCGGGGCUCAACCCCGGAACUGCAUUGGAAACUGUUUUGCUAGAGUGUCGGAGAGGUAAGCGGAAUUCCUAGUGUAGCGGUGAAAUGCGUAGAUAUUAGGAGGAACACCAGUGGCGAAGGCGGCUUACUGGACUGUAACUGACGUUGAGGCUCGAAAGCGUGGGGAGCAAACAGGAUUAGAUACCCUGGUA